rnacentral:rRNA from 1 species
GAUGAACGCUGGCGGCGUGCCUAAUACAUGCAAGUCGAGCGAACGGACGAGAAGCUUGCUUCUCUGAUGUUAGCGGCGGACGGGUGAGUAACACGUGGAUAACCUACCUAUAAGACUGGGAUAACUUCGGGAAACCGUAGCUAAUACCGGAUAAUAUUUUGAACCGCAUGGUUCAAAAGUGAAAGACGGUCUUGCUGUCACUUAUAGAUGGAUCCGCGCUGCAUUAGCUAGUUGGUAAGGUAACGGCUUACCAAGGCAACGAUGCAUAGCCGACCUGAGAGGGUGAUCGGCCACACUGGAACUGAGACACGGUCCAGACUCCUACGGGAGGCAGCAGUAGGGAAUCUUCCGCAAUGGGCGAAAGCCUGACGGAGCAACGCCGCGUGAGUGAGGAAGGUCUUCGGAUCGUAAAACUCUGUUAUUAGGGAAGAACAUAUGUGUAAGUAACUGUGCACAUCUUGACGGUACCUAAUCAGAAAGCCACGGCUAACUACGU